UAGGGAAUCUUCGGCAAUGGACGAAAGUCUGACCGAGCAACGCCGCGUGAGUGAAGAAGGUUUUCGGAUCGUAAAACUCUGUUGUUAGAGAAGAACAAGGACGUUAGUAACUGAACGUCCCCUGACGGUAUCUAACCAGAAAGCCACGGCUAACUACGUGCCAGCAGCCGCGGUAAUACGUAGGUGGCAAGCGUUGUCCGGAUUUAUUGGGCGUAAAGCGAGCGCAGGCGGUUUCUUAAGUCUGAUGUGAAAGCCCCCGGCUCAACCGGGGAGGGUCAUUGGAAACUGGGAGACUUGAGUGCGGAAGAGGAGAGUGGAAUUCCAUGUGUAGCGGUGAAAUGCGUAGAUAUAUGGAGGAACACCAGUGGCGAAGGCGGCUCUCUGGUCUGUAACUGACGCUGAGGCUCGAGAGCGUGGGGAGCAAACAGG
rnacentral:rRNA from 1 species